UUAAAAACUUAUCUGGACUAUGUUAGUUUGUACUGGAGUGACCAACAUUCUUCCCUUCAGAUUAUGGAUGGAUGUUGGUCACUCCAUUACAUGCCAACAUCAAUUCUAGUUCUUCUCUUCUGUCAAUCAAUAUCAAAUUCUACAGGUAGUUGCUUCAUGCGCUCAUGGUGUUCGUAGAUUUGUCCCACUGAGAAAUAUACAUAUGAUCUUUGGAUGUAUUGAGCUAAAAUCAAAUAUAAGUUUCAUUCCAAAUUAAUGCAACCAAAACGCUAUUUUAAAGAAGGUGAUUUUUUGGAUUUAUGAAUUUGAUACAUGUUCGAUGAA